rnacentral:rRNA from 1 species
UCGUCGCUGCCGGCGCCGCUAGUCAGUCGAGCGGUGACACCUUCCUGGUGGGGAUUAGUGGCGAACGGGUGAGUAACACGUGGGCAAUCUGCCCUGCACUCUGGGACAAGCCCUGGAAACGGGGUCUAAUACCGGAUACUGAUCGCCUUGGGCAUCCUUGGUGAUCGAAAGCUCCGGCGGUGCAGGAUGAGCCCGCGGCCUAUCAGCUUGUUGGUGAGGUAAUGGCUCACCAAGGCGACGACGGGUAGCCGGCCUGAGAGGGCGACCGGCCACACUGGGACUGAGACACGGCCCAGACUCCUACGGGAGGCAGCAGUGGGGAAUAUUGCACAAUGGGCGAAAGCCUGAUGCAGCGACGCCGCGUGAGGGAUGACGGCCUUCGGGUUGUAAACCUCUUUCAGCAGGGAAGAAGCGAAAGUGACGGUACCUGCAGAAGAAGCGCCGGCUAACUACGUGCCAGCAGCCGCGGUAAUACGUAGGGCGCGAGCGUUGUCCGGAAUUAUUGGGCGUAAAGAGCUCGUAGGCGGCUUGUCGCGUCGGUUGUGAAAGCCCGGGGCUUAACCCCGGGUCUAGCAGGCGGACACGGCGCAGGCUACGUAGUUCAGUACGUCGAGUAUCGGAAUUCGCUGGUGUAGCGGGGAGAUGCG